AACGAACGCUGGCGGCAGGCUUAACACAUGCAAGUCGAGCGCCCCGCAAGGGGAGCGGCAGGCGGGUGAGUAACGCGUGGGAAUCUACCCAUCUCUACGGAAUAACGCAUGGAAACGUGUGCUAAUACCGUAUACGUCCUUCGGGAGAAAGAUUUAUCGGAGAUGGAUGAGCCCGCGUUGGAUUAGCUAGUUGGUGGGGUAAAGGCCUACCAAGGCGACGAUCCAUAGCUGGUCUGAGAGGAUGAUCAGCCACACUGGGACUGAGACACGGCCCAGACUCCUACGGGAGGCAGCAGGGGGGAAUAUUGGACAAUGGGCGCAAGCCUGAUCCAGCCAUGCCGCGUGAGUGAUGAAGGCCCUAGGGUUGUAAAGCUCUUUCACCGGUGAAGAUAAUGACGGUAACCGGAGAAGAAGCCCCGGCUAACUUCGUGCCAGCCGCCGCAGUAACAC
rnacentral:rRNA from 1 species